rnacentral:rRNA from 1 species
CCUACGGGGGGCUGCAGUGGGGAAUAUUGGACAAUGGGGGCAACCCUGAUCCAGCCAUGCCGCGUGUGUGAAGAAGGCCCUCGGGUUGUAAAGCACUUUCAGUGAGCAAGAACGCCUGGUGGUUAAUACCCAUCAGGAAAGACAUCACUCACAGAAGAAGCACCGGCUAACUCCGUGCCAGCAGCCGCGGUAAUACGGAGGGUGCGAGCGUUAAUCGGAAUUACUGGGCGUAAAGCGCGCGUAGGUGGCUUGAUAAGCCGGUUGUGAAAGCCCCGGGCUCAACCUGGGAACGGCAUCCGGAACUGUCAAGCUAGAGUGCAGGAGAGGAAGGUAGAAUUCCCGGUGUAGCGGUGAAAUGCGUAGAGAUCGGGAGGAAUACCAGUGGCGAAGGCGGCCUUCUGGACUGACACUGACACUGAGGUGCGAAAGCGUGGGUAGCAAACAGGAUUAGAUACCCUAGUAGUC